rnacentral:rRNA from 1 species
UUAAUCCUCCCAUGGGUUAGUCGGUACCUAAGCCGAGCCCGAGAGGGGUAGGUGAUGGCAAGCAGGUUAAUAUUCCUGCACCAGUUGGGUAGACGUUGAAUCGAGCAGGGACGGAGAAGGGUAUGCUGAGCCUGGUGAUUGGAAAUCCAGGUUCAAGCCAGUAGGCAGAUUCCGUAGGACCCAAUAGGGACAAACGCGGAGUCAAUGCCGAGAGGUGAUGAGGCUGAGCUUCGGCUCAAUAACUCAGUGAUCCCAUGCUUCCAAGAAAAGCUGCGCGAGGAGUCCCUCAACUGACCGUACCGCAAACCGACUCAGGUGGGCGGGGUGAGUAUCCCAAGGCGCGUGAGAGAACGCUGGUUAAGGAACUCGGCAAAUUUACACCGUAACUUCGGGAGAAGGUGUGCCCUUUGACGUGAGCUCUGUACAGAAGGAGCGUCGGGGGGUUGCAGAGAAACGGGGGUGGCGACUGUUUACUAAAAACACAGGACUCUGCGAACUCGCAAGAGGACGUAUAGGGUCUGACGCCUGCCCGGUGCUGGAAGGUUAAGGGGAGUUGUCAGCGCAAGCGAAGCAACGAACCGAAGCCCCAGUAAACGGCGGCCGUAACAAUAACGGUCCUAAGGUAGCGAAAUUCCUUGUCGGGUAAGUUCCGACCUGCACGAAUGGCGUAACGACUUCCCCACUGUCUCAACCAGCGACUCAAAAUUGUAAUCGCGGUGAAGAUACCGUGUACCCGCGGCAAGACGGAAAGACCCCAUGAACCUUUACUGCAACUUGACAGUGAAGCUCGGGACAGACUGCGUAGGAUAGGUGGGAGGCUGUGAAGCCGGGGUUCUGGCCUCGGCAGAGCCAACGUUGAAAUACCACCCUGUUUGUUCUGGGCUUCUAACCCAGGCGAGUAAGCCUCGUCGGGGACACUGUCUGGUGGGCAGUUUGACUGGGGCGGUCGCCUCCCAAAAAGUAACGGAGGCGCGCGAAGGUUCCCUCAGGCUGAUUGGAAACCAGCCGUAGAGUGUAAUGGCACAAGGGAGCUUGACUGUGAGACCGACAGGUCGAGCAGGUGCGAAAGCAGGUCAUAGUGAUCCGGCAGUUCUGCAUGGAAGGGCUGUCGCUCAUCGGACAAAAGGUACUCUGGGGAUAACAGGCUGAUCGCGCCUGAGAGUUCAUAUCGGCGGCGCGGUUUGGCACCUCGAUGUCGGCUCAUCGCAUCCUGGGGCUGGAGCAGGUCCCAAGGGUUUGGCUGUUCGCCAAUUAAAGCGGUACGCGAGCUGGGUUUAGAACGUCGUGAGACAGUUCGGUCCCUAUCUGCCGUGGGCGUAGGAUACUUGAGAGGGUCUAACCAUAGUACGAGAGGACCUGGUUGGACGUACCUCUGGUGAUCCGGUUGUUCCGCCUGGAGCAUCGCGGGGUAGCUAUGUACGGAACGGAUAACCACUGAAAGCAUCUAAGUGGGAAGCCGGCCUCAAGAUGAGGUAUCCCGGGACAUUAGUCCCCUGAAGGCCCGUCGAAGACUACGACGUAAUAGGCUGGGUGUGGAAGCACAGCAAUGUGUGGAGCUAACCAGUACUAAUCGGCCGUGAGGCUUGACCCG